ensembl:lncRNA
UCUUUAAGCCUCGGUUUCCUUAUCAGGGAAUUGAAGGCCAGAAUCCCUCAUGCCCCACUAGGCUGCCAGGAGGAUUGGGAGAGACAGCUCAUGUGGCAAAUAGAGGCCUGGUCCGAGCUCGUGCCCAGGAGCCGAUCCUGCUGACAUCACCCCCAGGAGUCCCUGGGGCCCUUGGCCUCUGCCCACUCUGUUCUCCCGCCAGGCAUGCCCGACUCGCUCUGACUCCUUUGUUCCUCUGGAAUAUCUUUCUCCACCCCAUCCGGUGCCAUGACAGUCUGCCAGCCCGGGUGGGAUCCAGGCCCCCGGCCCAGCUCUCCUCCUGGGAUUCCUCAUCAUGGGAGCUAGUAGCUGUGGGGCUCUUCGAAGGAGCAGCCACUCCAAGUGCAGCCUCUGUGAACUUGUCUCACACUACCAUGGAAGGUCGGCUACCAGCCCAGUGCUCAGGGGAGGAAAGCGAGGCUCGAAUGGCAGUCCCUUGUCAAGGUCCCCAGGGCUCUCUCCCUCGUCCCCACUAAGCACAGCCCCUCCCUCCCAGAAGCAGAGUCUGCUGGCUGUGUGGACCAGGGGCUGGCACAGAGCCUGAGGCAAGGGUCACUGCUAGAGGACCCUAGCUCUGCUUUGGGCUCAAUGACCUUCUCUAAAGCCCCCCAGCCCCAGGCUUAGAGCUCUGGCACCUUCCACGAGGCCUCCGCCAUACCUUGUCAAAGUCCCUUCUGCUCACACGAGGUCCAGCGGGUCCUGCGCAUGCAGCUGAGAACGACCCCUGGAUGGAGCACGUUCGAGGCUCACAGCAGAGAAGGAGACCUUGAAGGUCAGAGAGUGACCGACAGCGGAACACCGUGUUGACGUCAUGCGCCAGAAUCUCCCCCUCUGGGGAUAUGUCCUCCAGGAUCAGAGAUUGAGGGAGGCUGAUGUUCCCAUCAGCGUGAGGAGGGGAGAGGAAAGUCAGAAACGGGGCACGUUCCACAUCGGGGCCAUUUGGAAAUUCGGAUGCCAGGAUACCCAAGAGGAAGAGUGUUGUCUGACCAGGGUCCGCCCGUGAAGAAAUCAGAUCCAGAGGAGCACACGCCCUGCAGGCCUCCGCACUCAGCACCCACAGGAUGCACGCACUCUGACGCACACACCGGCAUAUCCAUGUGCACACACGCAGCACAGGUGUGAACAUGCAUCACCCCACACACAUGCACCCCCGCGCACGGGCACGCGGGCACACACACACACACACGCCCGCGCGCACACACAUGUGGACACCAAGGGAAAGGACUGGAAAGGUGAAGACCACCCGCGAAGGGCACUCCUGAGUUGCCACUUCCUUAAUUCUUCAGUCUCUUAAAAUUCAUUAUCUUACUACAAUAAACGUUCACUGUCUUGGAAUAGAAAUCUUCAAAAAUAGAAACUAAAGAAUGUACUUUAUUCCAAAGGUGGAUCAUCAAUGGAUUUCAUUUAAGCUGUGAUAUUCACCUUUUUAGAAUUAGGAAAGGAAUACACGCACAUUCUAAGAACUUUCAACAUCCUGCCAGGAGCAGAUGAGAGACUGGAAAGUCGCGAGCCCCAUAAACAGUUUGGUGCAUAUCUCCCUGGUGUGGUUGCUCUCAUUCUGUCUCCUUCUGUCUGUCUCUCUCUCACACGCACAUUCAUUUUCAUAGAUGUCUGUCUCCCUGUUGAUGUCACAUAUCCGUGUUCUGACGGAUGGGCCGCACGGGUCCCAUUGCCUCUCCAUGAACCUGAGUUGUGUUCCCAACUCCCAGCCAUUGCAACCAGUGCUGUCAUGACUAUUGUUGAAAAGAUAUCUUGCAAACCUUGGGCAAGACCUCCUGUG